GUGCUCACUUCAGCAGCACAUUUACUAAAAUUGGAACAAUACAGAGAUUAGGAUGGCCCCUGUGCAAGAAUGACAUGUGAAUUAGUGGAGCAUUGCAUAUUUUU